UCUCAUAGCCAUAAAAGGCAACAUUUAUAAGGAAAUCUACGUAAAAGCCUAGAAAUGGUCUGCUUUUUCAUUUUCCAAAUGUAUUUAUUAGCAGCACAGGCUCCUGACUACCGAACUCAACAGUACUUUAGACAUAAAUACACACCACAGUGUUGGUCUUAAACAGGUAUGAUUAGUGACAUUUCAAUCAGGAAACUACCAAGCUAGCACAUUUGGUUCCUUGGAAGCUGUGGGAAUGAGUUUAAAAUGAGUCUUGAUGAGAACUAAAGAAACCAGGCAGGCAGAAGUUGAAAGGCCAAGGCCCCAGAGGUGGAGGAGGGCUGGCAGCAGAGCAGAGCCCGAUAGAUGGGCCUCUCGCUCUACAUGUCCUCCUCCUCCAGCUCCUCCGGAGACUGACCAGCUAAACAGGGUUACAGGUAUCGUGCCCCUUGAUUCCAGAAGUGAAGACAAAAGGAGAGAUGGUGGAAGAGGGGCAGAGCUAGAGGAGGACUGUGGGAGGAGGAGGGUGGGACACUGGGUCUCAGGGCCCCAAGUGAGGGCCCAUGGGGGAGCUGGUUAUCCGAAGGGAACACAGAGAAAUGUGGAACAGGCACAGAGUGUGGUGUAUCUACUGAGGGACAGAAGCAAUUUCAGGGCCCUUGGGUUCUCAUUCAAGAGAGACCGAAUAACCCUGCUCCACCAGAAGAGCCACAAAGGGUUUAGUUUCCCAUGUAUUCACUUUGUUCCAAUCCUCAGUGCCCCCUUAUCACUCAAACCAACAUGUCCCAGGCCUUAUGGGGAUGCCCAUAAUAAACCCAGUCACUCCCCACACAUAGUCCUCUCCCUCCCUGCUCCUGCACCCCACUUCACCCUCUGUAUUUAUUUUUACCGUCCCAACAAUAAGCCGGAGAGGUAAAAUGAAAAUUAAAAAAUUAAUGAAAGUGAAUGAAAGAAAAUACUGUAACAUGCACUGUUUGCUCUUGUCUGGUUGAUAAAAAAACAAUCUUAUGGCUAA